CGGGAAGGCGCAGAGCACGAGUCCUGCCCACAUGAGAAAACACCACCAGCUCAAGGUAUAGGAAGGGUUUUCUCUUUGGUUUUAGACUUUUCCAUGGGAGGAGGAAAACUGUUCUGCCCCAGCCCUAACCCUGGUGUUGCAUGGAGACAGAUUGAGCUGGAUUAAGAGGAUACGGUCCCGUCAGUGUUUGUCACCAUUUUUCAGCUAUGGAUUUUUGCUUCUGUAACAGGUGCUUUUGACAUCAUUAGUCACAAUUUACGGAGGAGAAACAAUAGCACAAUGACUUGCCCCACCUCGUAUACCAAUGGCAAACUCAGGCGUAUAACCCACUCCCAAACACUAACCCCACUGCUCUGCUCUUGCCUGCAUCUCUCUGAUGGACGCAGCUACUCUUAAUACUCAACACAGAGCUAUACUUCACAGAAGAUCAAAAGACAGCGUUCUGUUCUUCUCACAUACAGGUAUAUGUGCACAUGUGCCUGAUUAAGUGUGUGAUUACAUGUGCACAUGUAUGCGAUUAAGUGUAUGGCUCCACAUGUGUGUGAUUACGUGUGCAAAGUGUGCUGUGCCUUCAUGGGGCUGCUGGUGAGCAGCAUUUUUGGAGCCAUGGCUGGGGUACAGCCAUCUGAUCAGCUUGACUGCACAAAUACAAACAGCAAAUUGUGGGGCAGGCUUUUCCACUGCGGGGCCAAACAAACACGAUGAGACAGAAAUUGGCUGAAA